rnacentral:tRNA from 1 species
GGUGUGUUAGACGAAUUGGUAGAGUCGUUAGUUUCAGGAAAGUGAAGUUACUAAUGCGAAAGCAUUGGGGGUUCGAGUCCCCCACACAUCA